AUUGAACGCUGGCGGCAGGCCUAACACAUGCAAGUCGAACGGUAGCACAGAGGAGCUUGCUCCUUGGGCGACGAGUGGCGGACGGGUGAGUAAUGUCUGGGAAACUGCCCGAUGGAGGGGGAUAACUACUGGAAACGGUAGCUAAUACCGCAUAACGUCUUCGGACCAAAGUGGGGGACCUUCGGGCCUCACACCAUCGGAUGUGCCCAGAUGGGAUUGGCUAGUAGGUGGGGUAAUGGCUCACCUAGGCGACGAUCCCUAGCUGGUCUGAGAGGAUGACCAGCCACACUGGAACUGAGACACGGUCCAGACUCCUACGGGAGGCAGCAGUGGGGAAUAUUGCACAAUGGGCGCAAGCCUGAUGCAGCCAUGCCGCGUGUAUGAAGAAGGCCUUCGGGUUGUAAAGUACUUUCAGCGGGGAGGAAGGCGUUAAGGUUAAUAACCUUGGCGAUUGACGUUACCCGCAGAAGAAGCACCGGCUAACUCCGUGCCAGCCGCCGCGGUAA
rnacentral:rRNA from 1 species